rnacentral:rRNA from 1 species
UACGGAGGGUGCGAGCGUUGUUCGGAAUUACUGGGCGUAAAGCGUGCGCAGGCGGUUCGUUAAGUCAGAUGUGAAAUCCCCGGGCUUAACCUGGGAAUUGCAUUUGUGACUGCACGGCUAGAGUGUGUCAGAGGGGGGUAGAAUUCCACGUGUAGCAGUGAAAUGCGUAGAUAUGUGGAGGAAUACCGAUGGCGAAGGCAGCCCCCUGGGAUAACACUGACGCUCAUGCACGAAAGCGUGGGGAGCAAACAGG